CCAUGCUAGGAGCUAUAGUGGAUAUGGAGAUGACCCGGACAGUUCCCUCAAUGUCGUGAUGAACAUACAAACCAAGUGAGGUGGGAGAAUAUAUGGAAACACAAAUGAUGCAAGAGAGGGAAUCCAGGAGAACUUCACAGAGGACACAUUUGAGCUGAUCUUGAAGGACGAGUGGGGUGUCAAGAGGCAGAGAAGGGGGAAUAGUGUCAAGUCCUACCCCAGCUAUGCUGAUGUAUGUGCUUUCCAGCCACACCUCAUCUGAUUCCUUCCCUGUUCCCUGUACUUAGGACUGCACUGCUCAAGACUCCAGCACCUGUGUCGCCUCCUAGUUUUUCCCAAGACAGCCCAGCCUGAAGGAGUAGCUGGGAUAACUUGUGACUUCUGGCUCUCCCCACAAGGAGGAAAUUCAGUUCACCCAGCUGGGGCACCUGGUGAGGAUGCCGGCCGUGUGCUGCCAGGACCCCGUGGACAGUGUCUGCUCCUUGCCUGCUGAGGCCGCUACAGCCUCUACCGUAUCCUCCUGCUGUGAAGGCCUAUGCACAGCCCUCUCUCGUCCCUCCCCUCCAACCUCCCCACGUGCUCCGUUCCAGAAGAGUGAGGGCCUAGAAAUUACCUGAUCACGUCAUUUCCCUGACGUGAGGAGGAAAACGUAAGGGCUAUUGGAAGAAGAAGGCAAGAGUGAAGCCUACAGUGCCAACACCCUCUAUAACAACACCUUUCAGAUUGGCAAGGCGUUUGCAGAGCCCUUCACCCAGAGCCGGCUCUGCGACCUGGUGCUGGAGGCCGUGGAGGGCCUGCCCGAUAGCAAGGCCGAGUCGUCUCUGGCUGCUGCCCAGCUGACGAGCGCUGUCAUGGAAGAGCGGGGCAGAGACAUGACAAAGGUGACACGUGCCUUGUGUGAGAUGAUGUCAGGACCCCUGUGCCAGGAGGCUGCCCAGGAACUCUUCCCCCAGCUGUUGCUGGUGGCGCUGUGUCGUCUCUACUGGGUGACUGACUGAGCAAAGUGCUCCCCAGAAGAUGGUGGUGUCCAGCCAGAAGGGGGCCCGGGGCAGCGAGAGCAAGUCCUUUGACCCCACUAGAUCCAGGCUUAUGACCCAGAGCAAGAUCACACCCUCAUUCCCUAGAACCCCUCAGACCACAGAGGCCUGACGUCAUCAGCCUGAGGAAAGCAAAAACUACAGCAGUCCUCGAACGAACGUGCAAGCUGUGACCACGAGAGAAAUACCAGAUUGAGAAAUGAGCAGUCCUCUAGAAGAAAAGGUUAAGAACAAACAAAAGAAUAUGCAAUGGGGAGAUGAAACAGACCCUGAACUAGAGGCUUAGUACAGGAGAAAAUAAGGAGAAUAGAAUGAAGGAGAAGAAGAGAAAGAGGAAAAAGAAGAAAUCAAGCUCUAUCACAGGGUUCCUUAACGUCCGCACGACUGCCAUCGGGCUGUAGAGUCUGCGCUGCGGCGGCUGCCGCGUGGAUUGUAGGAUGGUAGCAGCAGUCCCAGUCUCCACCCACAUCGUGCUGGUAGUAACCAGCCCUUCUCCCAGCUAUGACAACUGGAAAUAUCUCCAGGCGUUGCCAAAUGGCCUUUGGGGGAAAAAUUGCUCCUGGUUCAUAAACAAUGAUAACUGGAUAUGUCUCUGCCACAUAUUAAUUUUAAAACAAAACAUUAAAAAUGUAAAAACAUUUCAGCUGGGAGACAGUAUAAAAAUGAACCCCCAGCAGAAUGCAGACUGUAGUUUGACAACCCUUGAUAUAAAAGAAGGAAUACUGUGUCAAUAAAAGACAUAUUCCUGGGAAUGGUGAGGGGAAUGGUGAUACAUAGGCAAAGGUCACUAUUUUUUAAAUAAAUUUUUAUUUUAUAAUA